UUGGACAUUUCAAUAAAAAUGGAAUCCUACAACAUGUGGCCUUUUGUAUCUGGCAUCUUUUACUUAGUAUAAUGUCUUCAAAGUUCAUCCGUGUUGUCGUGUCUGUUAGUAGCUCAUUCCUUCUCGUGGCUGAAUAAUAUUCCAUGGUACUAAUUGAUUCGUCUGAUCAGCUGUUGACAGACCCCUGGGAUUGCUUCCGCUUGUUGGUGACUGUGAAUAAUGCCGCUGUUCUAAAUCAGUUUUGUUUCAGCAGCUGAUGGUGAUUUUAAGUGGCUAAGUGAGAGGCGGAUAUCAGUGGUAGGCAGAAGCCUCUCAAUUUAUUGUCGGGCUUCUAGUUUUCCUGAUAGUUAACAAUAUCUCUGAGGACUCUUCUGAAAUAUUUGCCCACGUGGUGGAGAAUUUUAGACCGAGGCUAUAGGUGACAAUGAUAGUUUUCCUAGUACUAGGGUUUAGGAAAAUUAUGCAAAAUAACCGAUAAAGUUUUUUGAGCCUUUUUAAAUUUUUUGAGUGUAUUUUUGAAUAUAAUUUACACUCAUCUCUCUGCUAAAUCAGAUUAUUCUCUUGUGCUAGAAGAGGCUUUGAGGCCCAGAGAGAUGGGACGUAGCCCAUGUGGUUGCCGCCUGGCGGGUGGCCCUUGACCGCCCUCCGAGCUCACCUGCAGCUCCCCAGCGGAAGCUUCUCAUUUUAGCCAUCCUGUUUCUGCUUCUCAGCCCUAGGUUUUCUCAGGAGUCCCAGGGGUGAGCUCAGAUUGCCUGAGGGCAGCUUGGCAGUACUGGGGAACUAAUGACCCCAGGGCAACCCAAAACUAAUAAGGUAAAUAAAUACUCAGCUUCCCUCCCUUCUCCCGGAUGUUCUACAUCUGGGGUCAGCAAACUCCUUCUCUUAAGGGCCAGAUGGUAAAUGAUUUGAACCUUCCAGGCCGCAUGGUCUCUGUUGCUGCUGUAUCCAGACCUGCUCCUUUGGCGGGAGAGCAGCCGCAGAUCUGGGUGGGGAGAAUGAGCUGGGCAAGGUGCCAGUUCAACUUUCUCUACAGAAAGAGGCAGUGGGUCGGCUUUGACUUGCUGGCUGCCGUGUGCCCACCCUUGUUCUCUGGGAUUCCUCCGAUUCCCCAGUGGAGUCGAACCCCAGGUGCCUCCGGAGGCAACCCCUUCAUGACCACACCCUUUGGGGCUUUUCUUUCUUUCCUAUGUUGUUAACUUGUACUUCGGGGAUUUCUAGCCAGACACAUGGCCUGUCCCCAAUUCCUUUUCUCAGGGUUUGUUUUGAAGGGAACAGAGUUGAGAAGCCGGAACGAUGUUAGUCAAUAUAAUCUUACAACAAGCUAACCAUGUGAAGAGAUCCCGGGCUCUGGAAUGAGUCUGAGAUGCUGUUCUGCUCCUGAAUGGCCCUGGCUGAAUGACGUCACCCCUUUGUGCCUCAGUUGCUUCGUCUGUAAAGCGGGUAUCAUCAGAGAACCUACCACAAAGUAUUGUUAAGAAGAUUUUAUGUUAAUCUUUGUGUAGAGGGCCUAAUACAGUGCAUUUAGACAUUAUAAAGCAUAGUGACUUUUGCACAGGUGAUAAAGUUUUAUUUUGUUUUGUUUGUUUUGUUUUAAUUGUGGAAAAGUGCCUUGAUGAUCUCUUGGCAGGAAAACUUCAUAUUGAAUUGAUGGAAUUUUCCUAUUUAUUAUAAGUGAGAAAUAUAAGUGGCUGACUGAUGGUAUGCAUUUUUAACCCAGUUUGGACCUUGCUUAUUUGAAAAUCUCUAGUCCUUCAUGUUCAAACAACACAAGGCACAAAGAUAUCAGAAUAUCUGUUUAGUAAAACACUUAGGAUCUAUAAAGUGGUGGCAGUAUUUGUCCAGGAGAAUAAAACAUGGAUGAUCUAGAAAGGGGUCACAGUCUUUGCCCCAAGGAGGAAGUCAUUAAGAGUUUUAGGUUUUAGAAAAUUAUCAAGUUCAGUUGAUAAUGGACAUGGGUUUUUCCCGUGGCCCCCGCCAUGUGAGUCUGGAACCGAUCUACAAAUUAAUGCUACAGGUCCUCAGCUAUAAAUAAGCCUUUACCUUGAUUGUAAUAACUCAUGAUUCCUACGGGCAACCUUGCAAGGAGGUGAAGGCAAAGGUGGUGAAGACCUACGUAGAAAGCAGCCCUGAGCUAGGUGGGGACCACAGAGCCCGGGGGCCUCCCGUUCACACCAGUGGCCUCGAGAUGGCUUAGCCUGCAUCUUCACACUGGUCUUUGAGGUCGGGCUGUGGUUUCCUUCAAUCAGUGGACGACGGCCCCGGGUAGUUUUUAGAUUUUUUAACUUUUACCGUGUAUGAUUUAAAGUCCUUGUGAUUCGACUGAUAUUCUUGGGCAGUCAUGGAAGAAUGUGAAUUAAAACCUCCAUUCCCAGAGUCCUGGUUUUUCCAUUGUCUCUCAUGUCCUUGUUGCGUGCACAGAUAAUGGGAUGGUUUUGAGCUGAUCUGGGCUGCAGAAAAUUUACAGAGGAAAUCAAAGCAAAUCCAUGCAUUUGAUUGAGGAUGUGCAGUCAUCGCCGCAUACUGCUUGGUGUGAGGCCCCUGACAGCCCCAGAGACUGCUUCCCACACACCCGCC